UACGUAGGGGGCAAGCGUUGUCCGGAUUUAUUGGGCGUAAAGAGCGUGUAGGCGGUUUGGUAGGUCCGCUGUGAAAACUCGAGGCUCAACCUCGAGACGCCGGUGGAAACCAUCAGACUAGAGUCCGGAAGAGGAGAGUGGAAUUCCGUGGUGUAGCGGUGAAAUGCGCAGAUAUCAGGAAGAACACCAGUGGCGAAGGCGGCUCACUGGCCCGAUACUGACGCUGAGGCACGAAAGCGUGGGGAGCAAACAGG
rnacentral:rRNA from 1 species